UCGUGUAACGGUGUAUUAUGCUGUGAUUAGUCGUUGUAAACAUCAGCAGAUACACUCUUACAUGAAU
rnacentral:pre_miRNA from 1 species